rnacentral:rRNA from 1 species
GACGAACGCUGGCGGCGUGCCUAAUACAUGCAAGUCGAACGCUGAAGAGAGGAGCUUGCUCUUCUUGGAUGAGUUGCGAACGGGUGAGUAACGCGUAGGUAACCUGCCUGGUAGCGGGGGAUAACUAUUGGAAACGAUAGCUAAUACCGCAUAAAAUUGAUUAUUGCAUGAUAAUUAAUUGAAAGAUGCAACUGCAUCACUACCAGAUGGACCUGCGUUGUAUUAGCUAGUUGGUGAGGUAACGGCUCACCAAGGCGACGAUACAUAGCCGACCUGAGAGGGUGAUCGGCCACACUGGGACUGAGACACGGCCCAGACUCCUACGGGAGGCAGCAGUAGGGAAUCUUCGGCAAUGGGGGGAACCCUGACCGAGCAACGCCGCGUGAGUGAAGAAGGUUUUCGGAUCGUAAAGCUCUGUUGUAAGAGAAGAACGGGUGUGAGAGUGGAAAGUUCACACUGUGACGGUAGCUUACCAGAAAGGGACGGCUAACUACGUG